GUGUCUGCCGGUAGAUCCCCCGUUGUACUUCGGCCGACUACCGGCGCCGUGUCCCGUCACUCUUGUGGCAUUGUCCCGAUGGAUUGAACCCGUGGCUUGCGUGCUAGUACCCGACCUACGGGAAGUGGUGCUUCGUAUAAUUGUUGCCUCACGGUGGACGCCCUUUGGGUGUGCCAUUGUGACCGAAUAGCGCUUGCGGCGUUGCCUCGUACAACAGCCAUAUAAUGUGCAUGUUGAUAUCACGGCAACCUCGCUCUCGCUUUUGGUCUAGGAUGCUGCUCACGAUAAAGGCUCGAGGCCCUUCGGGUUGCCUCGAUCCGAAACAAUGUUCUCUCUCCGAAAUGGCGAUAACCGUGUUCAUGUCUUGCCUCUACCUCUCCACAGUUACGUGGUAGGAUACGCAACCCUAUGGAUCCGGCCCUCAUGGAGGAGGAGACAUGCUCUCUCCGAAAUGGCGAUAACCGUGUUCAUGUCUUGCCUYUACCUCUCCACAGUUACGUGGUAGGAUACGCAACCCUAUGGAUCCGGCCCUCAUGGAGGAGGAGGCAUGCUCUGUCUGAAAUGGCGAUAACCGGGUACAUGUCUUGCCUCUACCUCUCCACAGUUACGUGGUAGGAUACGCAACCCUAUGAUCCGGCCCUCAUGGAUGAUGAGACAUUCCCAAUGCUCUCUCUGAAAUGGCGAUAACCGGGUACAUGUCUUGCCUCUACCUCUCCACAGUUACGUGGUAGGAUAUGCAACCCUAUGAUCCGGCCCUCAUGGAUGAUGAGACAUGCCCGCUCAAAAGCGACAACUGGCUCGGCUGUUG
rnacentral:misc_RNA from 1 species